AUUGAACGCUGGCGGCAUGCCUUACACAUGCAAGUCGAACGGUAACGGGUCCUUCGGGAUGCCGACGAGUGGCGAACGGGUGAGUAAUAUAUCGGAACGUGCCCAGUAGUGGGGGAUAACUGCUCGAAAGAGCAGCUAAUACCGCAUACGACCUGAGGGUGAAAGGGGGGGAUCGCAAGACCUCUCGCUAUUGGAUGGGCCGAUAUCAGAUUAGCUAGUUGGUGGGGUAAAGGCCUACCAAGGCAACGAUCUGUAGUUGGUCUGAGAGGACGACCAGCCACACUGGGACUGAGACACGGCCCAGACUCCUACGGGGGGCAGCAGUGGGGAAUUUUGGACAAUGGGCGCAAGCCUGAUCCAGCAAUGCCGCGUGCAGGAAGAAGGCCUUCGGGUUGUAAACUGCUUUUGUCAGGGAAGAAAUCUUCUGGGUUAAUACCUCGGGAGGAUGACGGUACCUGAAGAAUAAGCACCGGCUAACUACGUGCCAGCCGCCGCAGUAAUAC
rnacentral:rRNA from 1 species